rnacentral:rRNA from 1 species
GACGAACGCUGGCGGCGUGCUUAACACAUGCAAGUCGAACGGAAAGGCCCUGCUUGCAGGGUACUCGUGUGGCGAACGGGUGAGUAACACGUGGGUGAUCUGCCCUGCACUUCGGGAUAAGCCUGGGCAACUGGGUCUAAUACCGGACAGGAGCCAUUUUUAGUGUGAUGGUUGGAAAGUUUUUUUCGGUGUUGGUUGAGCUCGCGGCCUAUCCGCUUGUUGAUGGGGUAAUGGCCUACCAAGGGGGCGACGUGUAGCCGGCCUGAGAGGGUGGACGGCAACAUUGGGACUGAGAGGCGGCCCAGACACCUACGGGAGGCAGCAGGGGGGAAGAUUGCACGAGGGGCGCAAGCCUGAUGCAGCGACGCCGCGUGGGGGAUGACGGCCUUCGGGUUGUAAACUCCUUGCGCAAGGGACGAAGCUUUUUGUGACGGUACCUAGAUAAGAAGCACCGGCUAACUACGUG